UACGUAGGCAGCAAACGUUGCUCGGAAUUACUGGGCGUAAAGAGUGUGUAGGCGGCUUUGCAAGUUUGGUGUGAAAUCUCCCGGCUUAACUGGGAGGGUGCGCCGAAAACUGCAAGGCUCGAGUGCUGGAGAGGAGAGUGGAAUUCCUGGUGUAGCGGUGAAAUGCGCAGAUAUCAGGAAGAACACCCGUGGCUAAGGCGGCUCUCUAGUACGGUACUGACGCUGAGACGCGAAAGCGUGGGGAGCGAACAGG
rnacentral:rRNA from 1 species